GACAUAAAACAUAUGGUAUAAAUAUGCUGCUGGAGAAUUGCAUCUAUAGCAAGCCAUAUUCUGGGGAUUCCACUUUCCAAUUCUCUUUGGUGACAGAUAUGCUCUGUUCAGGAGUUUAUAAUGUGAUUCUCUUAUCGCUAUAUUAGAAAACUAUCAACCAUGGCCCCAAUGGUUUCUCAAUACAAGGUAUAUCCCAAUAAGUUCAAAACCCAGAGGAGGAAAGAACAGAAUCAACAUGAACUAAACAGCCUCAUUUUGUGACUGAUCCAAAGGAAUUGUGUGUCAGAGGCAGAAAUGUAGCUACAAAAGUGGCAUAAUAUAACUUAAAAGGUAAUAUUUCCUUUUCAGAGUCUUUUGAUUGGGCGUGAAUCCCAAACUUUUCUUUUUUGAUUUUGACAGUUUGAAAAAAAUAAAAAAUCCAAUUUA